AGUUAUAUGCUUGUCUCAAAGAUUAAGCCAUGCAUGUCUCAGUGCAAGCCGUAUUAAGGCGAUACCGCGAAUGGCUCAAUAUAUCAGUUUUGGUUCCUUAGAUCUUACUCGGUUACUUGGAUAACUGUGGUAAUUCUAGAGCUAAUACAUGCAAUCAGAACUCUGACCAGUGAUGGGACGAGUGCUUUUAUUAGAUCAAAACCAAUCGGCGGAGGGCCUCUCUCUCGGGGGGGUGUCCGAAGUCGUUCGAAAUUUUGAUGAAUCUGGAUAACUUUUGCCGAUCGCACGGUCCCGUACCGGCGACGCAUCUUUCAAAUGUCUGCCUUAUCAACUUUCGAUGGUAGUUUCUGCGACUACCAUGGUUGUCACGGGUAACGGGGAAUCAGGGUUCGAUUCCGGAGAGGGAGCCUGAGAAACGGCUACCACAUCCAAGGAAGGCAGCAGGCGCGCAAAUUACCCACUCCCGGCACGGGGAGGUAGUGACGAAAAAUAACGAUACGGGACUCUUACGAGGCCUCGUAAUCGGAAUGAGUACACUUUAAAUAUUUUAACGAGGAACAAUUGGAGGGCAAGUCUGGUGCCAGCAGCCGCGGUAAUUCCAGCUCCAAUAGCGUAUACUAAAAUUGUUGCGGUUAAAAAGCUCGUAGUUGCAUUUGUGCGCCGCGCUGUCGGUACACCGCAUCCGCGGUGAUACUGACACGUCUGCGGAGCAUGUGGUCGGUGAGCGGGCGCGUUAACGCGCGUCGGUUCAAUAUUGAAAAAAUCCUAUCGCGGUGCUCUUCGAUGAGUGUCGAGAUGGGCCGACAAUUUUACUUUGAACAAAUUAGAGUGCUCAAAGCGGGCUUUGAAAUGCUGCUUGAAUAUUUCGUGCAUGGAAUAAUAGAAUAUGAUCUCGGUUCUAUUUUGUUGGUUUUCAGAACUCCGAGGUAAUGAUUAAUAGGGAUAACUGGGGGCAUUCGUAUUGCGACGUUAGAGGUGAAAUUCUUGGAUCGUCGCAAGACGAACAUCAGCGAAAGCAUUUGCCAAAGGUGUUUUCAUCAAUCAAGAACGAAAGUUAGAGGUUCGAAGGCGAUUAGAUACCGCCCUAGUUCUAACCGUAAAUAUGUCAUCUAGCGAUCCGCCGACGUUACUACAAUGGCUCGGCGGGCAGCUUCCGGGAAACCAAAGAUUUUGGACUCCGGGGGGAGUAUGGUUGCAAAGCUGAAACUUAAAGGAAUUGACGGAAGGGCACCACCAGGAGUGGAGCCUGCGGCUUAAUUUGACUCAACACGGGAAAUCUCACCAGGCCCGGACACCGGAAGGAUUGACAGAUUAACAGCUCUUUCUUGAUUCGGUGGGUGGUGGUGCAUGGCCGUUCUUAGUUGGUGGAGCGAUUUGUCUGGUUAAUUCCGGUAACGAACGAGACUCUAGCCUGCUAAAUAGGCGUAGCGAUUUAUGUGCGUGCGCGCGCCCCGCUCGUCCCCUUCACGGGGGGCGCGGUGUGGGAUGUGUCGCGCGCAACUCACUCGCGACGCAUCAAAUAUCUUCUUAGAGGGACCGGCGUCUUCGAGGCGCACGAGAUUGAGCAAUAACAGGUCUGUGAUGCCCUUAGAUGUCCUGGGCCGCACGCGCGCUACACUGAAGGAAUCAGCAUGUUCUCCCUGGCCUAGAGGCCCGGGCAACCCGCUGAAACUCCUUCGUGCUGGGGAUUGGGGUUUGCAAUUGUCCCCCAUAAACGAGGAAUUCCUAGUAAGCGCGAGUCAUAAGCUCGCGUUGAUUACGUCCCUGCCCUUUGUACACACCGCCCGUCGCUACUACCGAUUGAAUGAUUUAGUGAGGUCUUCGGACCGACACGCGGUGGCUUCACGGCCGUCGGCGUUGCUGGGAAGUUGACCAAACUUGAUCAUUUAGAGGAAGUAAAAGUCGUAACAAGGUUUCCGUAGGU
rnacentral:rRNA from 1 species